CACUCUACAAGCAGUGUGGCAGUGUGUGAAUGAGAGAAAAAGCACUGUGCAGCACCACCUUCAUUACUCACCGUACCGGGUAAAGUAGUUGUUGUUGCAACGACAAAGUCAGUUUAAGUAAAAAGUUUAUCGAUGUGAAUAAACUUUGAAAUAGAACGAACAUGAGCAACCAUAAGCUUUCUCCUGGCUAGUAGCUUGUUAGCUUUACAUUUACAUUUGAGCCAUUUUUAGCUGUGUCAGGAUAUAUCUAACUAGCUAACGCUGGCUAGUUCUGGCAUAGCGUGAAUACAUCUCAGUUCUCAAAGCUGAUAGAGUCCAUAGAUAGAUGAUCUGUCAUAGCGUGAAUACAUAUGAGUUAUCAUACUGUAUAUGAUCUCUGAUGAAAUGAUAGCAUCUUAAGUCGAGAAGUGUGUGGCCGAGGUGACAACAGAUGGAGACGGACUCAGAGAGGGAGCCAUCUUCAAGUCUACGCCGAAGCCAUUACCUCAGCUGCCACAGAGAUGACAAUGACAUUUUCAGUCACCGCGUAACUCAGCUAUAAACUGGAGCUGUUUGACAUGAAAGGCAUCCAUUUCGUUUUAUUUUGCUGUGGUGCAUGAGUUCACUACAUGUGUUUUCUUUGAGAAUUAAGAAGACAGUUUGGUCUAUAGCUAAACAAUUACUCAGAGGCCACACUCAAGUGUAAAACAUGCCACUGUCAGGCCCUGCAUGCAUGAGGCCCAUCUAGAGAGACUCACUGGGUAGCCAUGUUGUUAUACAGUAUGAUAUGUUUAUGUGGAAUAAGUUGCAGUGACUUUAUUCCAGAGGCCCUCUUGAGGCCCUUUGCUCCACUAGAAGUUAAAUGUAAUAAGUCAAGUCUUUAUUCCGAGUCUAGGGGCCUUCUUUUUACACUGUAAAACAAGCUGGGAUCAAUAAUUAGUAUAGUAAGCAUAACUAGGCAACAAAUCCAAUCAAAUUUGAUUUGUCACAUACGCCGAAUACAACAGGUUACAGUGAAAUGCUUACUUACAAGCCCUUUAGCCCAAUAGUUAGUAUAGUUAGUAUACUGAGGCCCACAGUAACCUAUUAAAACCAGAUGGCGAUAUACAAGGCACAGCUUACCUUGUGACACACUGUCUAAGAAACGGUUAGUUUAGAUAAUACCUCAUUUAGCCUAUGUUGCUGUGAAUAAAUAAAUACAGACGCACAUAUAAAUGCUGAAGUGACUGUUGUGAAGAGUGGCUAGAAAUAGCAUGCAGUGGCUCCAAACACUGUUCCCCUGGGAAUGUAUUUCUUCUUCACUGAAUUUAUUUGCUUUAUGGUCAAAUCGGCCACCUCCGUAUCUGGCGAAGUCAAUGUUACACCAGGGAGUGGUUGGCUAUGAGUGGAUUAAGACUUUUCCAUUGACCAGCGGUUUACAGAGGUUAUAAUCUUGGGUCCCAUUGAGUGAUUUCCCGUUAAGCCCAGGAAAGCUGUCAAAUGUUACUUACUGGAAUCCAGUGGAAUUUGUAGCUAGCGCUGAGUCGUUGGCAGUGAUGAACAUGGACACAAAGCUCACAGGAAGUGGCAAAUAGGACUGUCUGUGGACAGUGAGGUUCUCUUUUAUAUAGUAGAGAACAGAACAGAACAAUAAACUGGUAUUUACUGAAACAUGGCUGUAAUGGCUCCCGAACGUACACAAAUCUGGCGCCGAGUGUUGUUGGACAGAUGAAUCAUUUCAGAACCAAGUGAUUUAAUCAUUUGAGGGAUAUAUUGAAGCUAGCGGGUGGUUGGUCUAACCCUGGCAGUCUUACAUGAUAUUCAGACCUGCCCUUCAUGCACAUUGUCAUUCUAUGCAUGUUAAAAUAAGAUAUCUCAUCAUGUCUGUGUGGUUCUAUACACUGAAGUCUUAAUAAAGCAAUAUGUUG
rnacentral:lncRNA from 1 species